UCCCAUACCCACGCAGCUCCAUCGCAUUACUGAUUGUAUCAAUGCGGCCGAUACUUGUAAAAAUAAGUGGAAAGAUGAUAGAUGCCGUACUCUUUAUACGGCUCAUCAGCUUUGCCUUCCCGGACAUUUCUAUUCCACGGGCCUCCUGCGCAUUUUUAAUUUUGUGGAAAUCAUCCUGCACAUCCGGAAUAUAACGCAGUGCAAUUGCCACCGCAUAUCCGAUGUUGUAACUGAUUCCAAUACGAUUUAACGAUGCUGCAAACUCCGACGGAUUGGUGGUCACGACAAAAAUAAAUACCGCCGGGAUAAUUGUAAAAUAUUUCAAAAUAAUGUUCAACUCAUAAAACAACUGCUCAGCGGUAAUCGGAUAAUGCGCCGAAAGCUGCCAGAGUACAUGCUCCUGAAACCCUGUGCCUACAAGCACCUAGAGCACGUCAAUGUGUGAUAGGGUACUUUUUGUAGAACGGUCCGGCGAGCGAUUGUAUGCAGCAAGGUUAAGGACUUAAGGUCUGGAGCCGAAGCGAAAGCGAGUUUGAAAAGGGCGUUAAGUUGCAUAUAAUGGGCCCGAAACCGGGUGACCUACCCAUGGUCAGGUUGAAGUGGAAGUAAAAUUCCAUGGAGGACCGAACCGACCUCCGUUGAAAAGGCGGCGGAUGAACUGUGGGUAGCGGAGAAAUUCCAAUCGAACCCGGAGAUAGCUGGUUCUCCCCGAAAUAGUUUUAGGACUAGCCUCAAGUUAGAUACCUGGAGGUAAAGCACUGAAUAGCCUAGCGGCCGAGAGGUUAGCGAAGCUUAUCAAACUCAGAAUGCCAGAGUAUUGAUGCUUGGGAGUCAGACAGUGUCAGAUAAAUGUCAUUGUCAAAAGGGAAACAGCCCAGAUCUACAGCUAAGGUCCCAAAGUCAGGUUAAGUGGAAAACGAUGUGAAGAUACGCAGACAACCAGGAUGUUGGCUCAGAAGCAGCCACUCAUUCAAAGAGUGCGUAAUAGCUCACUGGUCGAGCGUCUUUGCGCGGAGAAUUUAACGGGGCUAAACCUGACACCGAAGCUUAGGCAAUACAGCAAUGUAUUGGGUAGGGGAGCGUUGUAUACGCGGAGAAACAGUAGCGCAAGCGGCUGUGGAGUGUAUAGAAGUGAGAAUGCCGGAAUGAGUAGCGCGAAUGCAGUGAGAAUCUGCAUGGCCGAAAGCCUCAGGUUUCUGGAGGAAGGUUCGUCCGCUCCAGGUUAGUCGGGAGCUAAGGUGAGGCCGGAAGGCGUAGCCGAUGCACAGACGGUAGAGAUUCCGUCACCACCAAAAGAGUUAAGCACAGGGACACAUAUGAAGUCUCAGAGCCGGGUGUUGGUUCCGGUAGAGAUCGAGGGAAAUUAGUACCGAAGUCUGAGAUGGAAGAUGGCGAGAAAAGCUGUGUGUAUUUCUGAGGUGCCCGUACCGCAAACCGACACAGGUAGGUAGGAAGAAGAUUCUAAGGCCAACGGGAGAAGGGUUGUUAAGGAACUCGGCAAAUUGACCCCGUAACUUCGGGAGAAGGGGUGCUCCAGAGAUGGAGCCGCAGAGAAUCGGCCCAAGCAACUGUUUACCAAAAACACAGGUUUGUGCUAAAUCGAAAGAUGACGUAUACGAGCUGACGCCUGCCCGGUGCUGGAAGGUUAAGAGGAGAUGUGCAAGCAUUGAAUCGAAGCCCCAGUGAACGGCGGCCGUAACUAUAACGGUCCUAAGGUAGCGAAAUUCCUUGUCAGGUAAGUUCUGACCCGCAUGAAAGGCGUAAUGAUUUGGGCACUGUCUCGACAGCCCGCCCGGCGAAAUUGUAGUACCGGUGAAGAUGCCGGUUACCCGCGACAAGACGGAAAGACCCCAUGGAGCUUUACUGUAGCCUAAUAUUGGGUUUCGAUGUUGCAUGCACAGGAUAGAUGGGACUCUGGGAAACCAAGGCUUUGGCUUUGGCGGAGAGGCCGUUGGGAUACCAUCCUUGCGAUAUUGGAAUUCUAACCUGCGGCUCUGAAUCGAGUCGGGGGACAUUGUUAGGUGGGCAGUUUGACUGGGGCGGUCGCCUCCUAAAGAGUAACGGAGGCGUUCAAAGGUUCGCUCAGCUUGAACGGAAAUCAAGCAAAAGAGUGCAAACGCAGAAGCGAGCCUAACUGCGAGACUGACGGGUCGAGCAGUAACGAAAGUUGGAGUUAGUGAUCCGGUGGUAUGUGAGUGGAAAUGCCAUCGCUCAACGGAUAAAAGUUACCCUGGGGAUAACAGGCUGAUCUCCCCCAAGAGUCCACAUCGACGGGGAGGUUUGGCACCUCGAUGUCGGCUCAUCGCAUCCUGGGGCUGUAUUCGGUCCCAAGGGUUUGGCUGUUCGCCAAUUAAAGCGGUACGCGAGCUGGGUUCAGAACGUCGUGAGACAGUUCGGUCCCUAUCUGUCGUGGGCGCAGGAUAUUUGAUGGGAGCUGUCCCUAGUACGAGAGGACCGGGACGGACGUACCUCUGGCGCACCAGUUGUUCCGCCAGGAGCAUAGCUGGGCAACUACGUACGGAUCGGAUAAACGCUGAAAGCAUCUAAGCGUGAAGCCGACCCAAAGAUAAGAUAUCCCACUGAUUCAAUCAGGUAAGAUCCCUUGU
rnacentral:rRNA from 1 species